AUGCAGUUCAAGGCGCCCCGAACCUUCCUCCUCCUGCUUCUCUCGGGGGUCCUGGUCCUGACCGAGACCUUGGCGGGCUCCCACUCCCUGAGGUAUUUCCACACCGCCGUGUCCCGGCCCGGCCGCGGGGAGCCCCGCUUCAUCGCCGUCGGCUACGUGGACGACACGCAGUUCGUGCGGUUCGACAGCGACGCCGCGAGUCCGAGGAUGGAGCCGCGGGCGCCGUGGGUGGAGCAGGAGGGGCCGGAGUAUUGGGAGGAGCAGACGCGGCGCCUCAGGGGCUACGCAGUUUCCAAGAGAACUUGAACACCCUGCGCGGCUACUACAACCAGAGCGAGGCCGGGUCUCACUCCCUCCAGUACAUGUACGGCUGCGACGUGGGGCCGGACGGGCGCCUCCUCCGCGGGUACAUGCAGGACGCCUACGACGGCGCCGAUUACAUCGCCCUGAACGAGGACCUGCGCUCCUGGACCGCGGCGGACACGGCGGCUCAGAUCACCCGGCGCAAGUGGGAGGCGGCCGGUGAGGCGGAGCGCUGCAGGGCCUACCUGGAGGGCGAGUGCGUGGAGUGGCUCCGCAGAUACCUGGAGAACGGGAACGAGACGCUGCAGCGCGCAGAUCCCCCAAAGACACACGUGACCCACCAUCCCAUCUCUGACCGUGGGGUCACCCUGAGGUGCUGGGCCCUGGGCUUCUACCCUGCGGAGAUCACCCUGACCUGGCAGUGUGAUGGGGAGGACCUGACCUAGGACAUAGAGCUUGUGGAGACCAGGCCUGCAGGGGACGGGACAUUCCAGAAGUGGGAGGCUGUGGUGGUGCCUUCUGGAGAGGAGCAGAGAUAUACAUGCCAUGUGCAGCACGAGGGGCUGCCUGAGCCCAUCACCCUGAGAUGGGAACCACUUCCUGUGUCCACCAUCCUCAUUGUGGGCAUCAUUGCUGGCCUGGUUCUCUUUGUGGUCACUGGAGCUGUGGUGGCUGGAGCUGUGAUCUGGAGGAAGAAGGGCUCAGGUGGAAAAGGAGGGAACUAUGCUCAGGCUGCAAGCAGCGACAGUGCCCAGGGCUCUGAUGUGUCUCUCACUGCAGCGUGAGACAACUGCCUUGUGGGGGACUGAGUGAUGCAAGAUUUGUUCCUGUCCCACCCCCAUUGUGACUUCAAGAACCUCUGCCUCUUCCUUCUGUGAAGGGUGCCUGAGUGUGUCUGUGUUCCUAUUAGAAUAAUGUAAGGAGGUGCGGAGACUGGUCUCCCCCACCACCUCCUUCCUACACUGAUCUGUGUUCUCUCUCUUGAUCAACUUUCCUGUUCCAGCAGAGAUGGGGCUGGGCCAUCUCCAUCCCUGUCUGAACUUCGUGUUGCACUGAGCUGCAACUGCUUACUCCAUAUUGAAGAUAAGAAUCUUGAUAUUAAUUUGUUUUUU